AAGGUCUGCUGUGUUUGGGUGUGAUGCCGGGUCUGUGGGUUGCAUGGGGAAAAAGAAAAGCUUUCAGUAGAGCGGAAGGAACUGUGCACCUCAGACUGAAAGCAAGCUAUAUGUUUACAUAAAUCUCCUGUUCUUGAGCCAAAGCUGUGAUUCAAAGGGAGGGUUUGGGCUAGCAGGAGGGAAAACGGAUGCAUCCCUGCUGUGCCUGGUUUCCUCGUCCAGUCAGUGCGCUCCUCCCCAGCCCUGCAGAGCUCCUGGGGCUCCCUGCGUCAGCUGCGCCUUGGGGAGCUGAAAGAGGUUACCUUUCAGGCACCGUGCUGAAAAAGAUUAAUUUUUCAUCUCUCCGUAUCAUCUGUGCAAUAGGAGCAGCAGCAGCCUUGCCACAGAUAUUGCAAGCAUGCUCUUACCUUUUAUUCAUUAGCUGUGAGCGGGGCCUAGACACGUGCACUGCUGUGUUUGCUGCUGUUACACGAGGGCUGUCAGCACGGUGAUGGGGAGGCAGUGGAGAAGCUGAAGAGGUGAAGCAAUUUAGGACUCAACCCAAAGGUUAUCCAAGCCAUCAGGAAGCUUCGUGUUGGUUCCUGCAGCCUUCGGCAGAGGCGCAGCUCCCCUCACUGUAACCACAUCUGAGCCACUGCAACAGGCAUUACUUAAUAGCGCUGAGAAGAGAAGCAGAAGAAAAUUUCUUUGAAGUUUUACCUGGACCUGAAGAGGCAGGAGGAGAGAAGACAAAGUGGAAAUACGGGUGAAUGGAGGAGAGCCAUUUGCCACCAUCCAAACAGGUCCAUUUCAACCACUUUCCUGUUGCGUACCUGCUUUUAGCCAGAGCCACUUGGUGCAAGCAGAGGUUAGAGACCUUUGGGGCUAACGCUAAAGUUCAAACCAGCUCCAACCCCACUAAUGUCAACUUCAAAGGCUUCCCUGUGCUGCAGCUACAGCUUUUCCUGAAGAGCCCAUGCCGGCGUCACCGGAAGCUGACGUUGGAUCAGGGAUGGAAACAUAAACAUGCGCAGCCAAAGUUGCAAGUUCCUUGGUUCCAAGGCCAAAGGAAAGCCCCAGCUCCCGCGGGAGGCAGAGUUAGUUCCUGGAUGCUGCAGAAUGAACUCACUUUUGCUGUCCUCAUUCUGGGCAGCUUUCUGCUGGGGGAAGUUUAAGAUGUCGAUAACAACGAUAGCGCAUGGAGUGAUCUCUUUAAAUUCCUGAUCUAUUGAAACAAGUCGUAUUUCCCUCAGAUUGUGUUUAACAUCAUGCAAAUAGGAGUGUUCGGUUGGAGAAUAUUAUGUGCAUGAUAGAUAACGUUGAGGCACUUAGUUUUAUUUUGAGCAGAAUAUCCUGUUUAUGCUGCUAAGGAAAAGUAAAAUCCCC
rnacentral:lncRNA from 1 species